GCUCUCCUUCCAAAGCUGCCUACUCGCUGGAAGGUGAACCCCAACUUCAGCUUGGACCCCUUGGCUCGCCUGUCCAAGGCUGCUUGCACUGGGCUGCACCCGGGCUGCCGCCAUGCCACGGAAUCUCUAGGAGGACCACCUCCCCAUUCUUAUCCCUGGGGGAGGGUCCCCAAGCCCCCGGGCUGGAAAAGAGGGUAAGAAGCAGUGAACAGUCUUCCUUUCAUGACCACCUAGAAAGCCUACCUGGAAGGGAGGAGGCUCUGUCUCAUCCUCUCCUCUGCAGAGGGUCUUCAGGGACACAGACUCCUGUCCCAGAAGCUCCAGGGACAGUUGGGGAUUGCAGUGAACUUACCACGUAUGCCUGGAUCAGCUACUUCUGACUGGACCUCAGUUUCUCCAUCUGUAAAAUGAAGCCAUAGAUUCUUCAGGUGGGGAUCCAUGACCCAAACAAGACUAGAAACCAUCACAGUUGGAGCAUUUAUUCGAGAUGGAAUGAACCCGCUUCAGAAAGAAACAAAGUUUAUUUGAUGAAUAUAAAUAAGGCGAUCAGCACAAAGUACUUCUCAUACACAUGAUAACAAAUUUAUGAACUGUACAUACCUUGUACAUUGUACUUCUACUAGACACGAGGUUACAAUGACUGGCUACUACAUGCCCACUGGUAGUUUCUGAGGGUUCCUUAGUUUUAUUUAUUUAUUUUUUUCAUAUCGAAGUCCAUAAUCACAUGGUCAAUAUCACAACCCACAUGCCACUCACUUGGAGAAAUAUUACAAGAAGCACU
ensembl:lncRNA